rnacentral:ribozyme from 1 species
CCCGGUCUUAUGCGGAAGCCUCUUCGUGGCGACCGGGAGGCAACGUCAUUCUUCGACGGCGAAUUCCGUUU